rnacentral:rRNA from 1 species
CCUACGGGAGGCAGCAGUGGGGGAUAUUGCACAAUGGGGGGAACCCUGAUGCAGCGACGCCGCGUGGGUGAAGAAGCGCCUCGGCGCGUAAAGCCCUGUCAGCAGGGAAGAAAAUGACGGUACCUGAAGAAGAAGCCCCGGCUAACUACGUGCCAGCAGCCGCGGUAAUACGUAGGGGGCAAGCGUUAUCCGGAUUUACUGGGUGUAAAGGGGGCGCAGACGGCGAUGCAAGCCAGGAGUGAAAGCCCGGGGCACAACCCCGGGACUGCUCUUGGACCGGCGUGGCUGGAGUGCAGGAGGGGCAGGCGGAAUGCCUGGUGUAGCGGUGAAAUGGGUAGAGAUCAGGAGGAACACCGGUGGCGAAGGCGGCCUGCUGGACUGCAACUGACGUUGAGGCCCGAAAGCGUGGGGAGCAAACAGGAUUAGAUACCCCAGUAGUC